GGCAUGUUGUGCCGCAACAUGAUGUGUGCAUCAUUUUCGACAAGGGCACCCAGAAUGCAGUCCGCUUUCGAACGACGUUUAAGCCUAUGGGAUCGUGCACACCAUAGGUAUUGUUUGCGUCACAUAGUGUCUAACUACAUGGGUUGAUACCGUAAAGAUGCGAAGCAACAACAUGUCAUUAACAUGGGUACGUUGUGCAUAGAAUUAGUUUCCUAUAAAAUAAUUUGACAUAUACGUUUUGGUUCACUUUUCUUGAAUACUUUGUUGAUUGUCAUUGAUAGGGUACGAGCUUGUCCAACAUCGAUUCCAUGAAAUGUUAGAGAGACUACGGGCUGUAAACCAACCGGGUGCGCGGGACCUCAAUGCGAUACUGAUCUGCCACAAAUUUAUGUGGCAAAUUAGGCUUUUUCGACGCACUAAAAAAGGUUUUUUCUCAAGAAAAAUAGAGUUUUUAGCAUAGUUUUUCAUUAUUUUUGUUAUUUUCAUAUAUUCGGAUAAUAAGUGAAAAUAUAUCGUUUUUAACUAUUUUUUUACCCAA
rnacentral:lncRNA from 1 species